AACGAACGCUGGCGGCAGGCCUAACACAUGCAAGUCGAGCGCGUAGCAAUACGAGCGGCGCACGGGAUAGUAACGCGCGGGAACCUACCUUUCGGUUCGGAAUAACAUCGGGAAACUGGUGCUAAUACCGGAUACGCCCUUCGGGGGAAAGAUUUAUUGCCGAUAGAUGGGCCCGCGUUGGAUUAGCUAGUUGGUGAGGUAACGGCUCACCAAGGCAACGAUCCAUAGCUGGUCUGAGAGGAUGAUCAGCAUCACUGGGACUGAGACACGGCCCAGACUCCUACGGGAGGCAGCAGUGGGGAAUAUUGGACAAUGGGGGCAACCCUGAUCCAGCCAUGCCGCGUGAAUGAUGAAGGCCUUCGGGUUGUAAAGUUCUUUUGGUGGGGACGAUGAUGACGGUACCCAAAGAAUAAGCACCGGCUAACUUCGUGCCAGCCGCCGCGGUAA
rnacentral:rRNA from 1 species